rnacentral:lncRNA from 1 species
AUGCCCCUCUUUCCCCACAUGAGUUCAUUCCAUGCUCACAAAGCGGUCUCGUCUGUGCCUGACGGGGGCCGUAGCUUCCUUGUGGGCACACUCGUUUUCAGAGGUGGAUAUGGUCAUUUCCUUAAGACUACACUCCUCCAUUUUGGGGGAAGAGAGAGUAACUUGAGAGUGAAAGAGGAGGGACAAUCCAUCUGCUCCUGUGGCUUCCAUCUUUAACCACCCCUCUCCUCCCUAGCAGUUUUCACUGUGUUUUCAUAGACGGCAACAGCAGCUCUUAGAAAGUUCCAGUAACCAGUGUGACAUCAGAGGGCAUCAUCAGGUUCUAUUAUGACACUGGGUGACCCCACUGCUUUCCCCUUUCUCCUCAUAACAGUUGAUUUUUGCCCUCCCCCAGCCUCCCCUUUACCUCAUUUCUUCAGGGGGGUCCUAAAUCCAAUUGACAAGCAUUCAUAGAGGUUUUGGGGCAGCCAGGUGGCCCAGUGGAUAGAGUGCCAGGCCUGGAUUCAGGAAGGCUCACCUUCUUGAGUUCAAAUCUGGCUUUAGAUGUUACUGUUAUUAGCUAUGUGACCCUCAACAAGUCCCUUGACUCUGUUUACCUCAUUUGUAAAAUGGGAGUCUUUAAACCGCUAUGAACAAAAAUGAGUCUUGGAGACUUGCUCCUAAAUUUAGGAGUAUUUAUUAGUAGAGAGAAAGAAGGAGAGAGAUGAGGUUUCCAGCCUUUCUAACUUCCCCAAACUAAGGCCCCAGCCAGUCCUAGAUUCUCCAUGGGCCCUGGUCCAUUUCCCAAGCAGCAGGCAGGGCCCAGCUACCCAGUCCUGAUAAAUUAAGGCCAGCCAAGGACUGGGCUUGAGUUCAGGAAGGGCCUGAGCUCCUGGAUUCCAGCCUGCCAAGGUCCCCACCAUGAUGCUGGCCAGAGAUGGUUUACAUAGAUGAGCCGGACAGUUGGGAGAGAGAGGGGUCCUUUUAUAAGCCCACAGUGUGACCAGAGCCCCCUUAGACUCUCAGCUCAGUCUAAGCAUCCCUCUGGAUCCCUCAGUGCCCAU